UAAUACGUAGGGUGCGAGCGUUGUCCGGAUUUAUUGGGCGUAAAGGGCUCGUAGGCGGUUUGUCGCGUCGGGUGUGAAAUCCUACUGCUUAACGGUGGGCUUGCAUUCGGUACGGGCAGACUGGAGUGUGGCAGGGGAGACUGGAAUUCCUGGUGUAGCGGUGGAAUGCGCAGAUAUCAGGAGGAACACCGGUGGCGAAGGCGGGUCUCUGGGCCAUUACUGACGCUGAGGAGCGAAAGCGUGGGGAGCGAACAGGAUUAGAUACCCUGGUAGUCCACGCUGUAAACGUUGGGCGCUAGGUGUGGGGACUGUUUCCACGGUUUCCGUGCCGUAGCUAACGCAUUAAGCGCCCCGCCUGGGGAGUACGGCCGCAAGGCUA
rnacentral:rRNA from 1 species